CACGUAGGGCGCAAGCGUUGUCCGGAAUUAUUGGGCGUAAAGAGCUCGUAGGCGGUGUGUCGCGUCGGCCGUGAAAACCUGCAGCUUAACUGUGGGCGUGCGGUCGAUACUGGCAUCACUGGAGUUCGGCAGGGGAGACUGGAAUUCCUGGUGUAGCGGUGAAAUGCGCAGAUAUCAGGAGGAACACCGGUGGCGAAGGCGGGUCUCUGGGCCGAUACUGACGCUGAGGAGCGAAAGCGUGGGGAGCGAACAGG
rnacentral:rRNA from 1 species